rnacentral:rRNA from 1 species
ACUCCUACGGGAGGCAGCAGUGGGGAAUAUUGCACAAUGGGCGCAAGCCUGAUGCAGCAACGCCGCGUGAGGGACGACGGCCUUCGGGUUGUAAACCUCUUUUAGUAGGGAAGAAGCGAAAGUGACGGUACCUGCAGAAAAAGCACCGGCUAACUACGUGCCAGCAGCCGCGGUAAUACGUAGGGUGCAAGCGUUAUCCGGAAUUAUUGGGCGUAAAGAGCUCGUAGGCGGUUUGUCGCGUCUGCUGUGAAAACUGGAGGCUCAACCUCCAGCCUGCAGUGGGUACGGGCAGACUAGAGUGCGGUAGGGGAGAUUGGAAUUCCUGGUGUAGCGGUGGAAUGCGCAGAUAUCAGGAGGAACACCGAUGGCGAAGGCAGAUCUCUGGGCCGUAACUGACGCUGAGGAGCGAAAGCAUGGGGAGCGAACAGGAUUAGAUACCCUGGUAGUCCAUGCCGUAAACGUUGGGAACUAGAUGUAGGGACCAUUCCACGGUUUCUGUGUCGCAGCUAACGCAUUAAGUUCCCCGCCUGGGGAGUACGGCCGCAAGGCUAAAACUCAAAGGAAUUGACGGGGGCCCGCACAAGCGGCGGAGCAUGCGGAUUAAUUCGAUGCAACGCGAAGAACCUUACCAAGGCUUGACAUAUACCGGAAAAGUUCAGAAAUGUUCUCCCCGCAAGGUCGGUAUACAGGUGGUGCAUGGUUGUCGUCAGCUCGUGUCGUGAGAUGUUGGGUUAAGUCCCGCAACGAGCGCAACCCUCGUUCUAUGUUGCCAGCACGUAAUGGUGGGAACUCAUAGGAGGCUGCCGGGGUCAACUCGGA